UCUGAGCUCAUAGUGUCUGGAUCUGAUGAGGGGGUAGGUGGGAUCCACACUUUGGGGGGCAGAUUGAAGAGACAGGCAGUCCAGUAGGACAGAGCUGAGUGAAGGCUUCCUGGAGGAGGAGGUAAUAAGAAGACAGAGAAGCAAGACCAAGCCUGGAAAAAUGGAAUGGGUCUAUGGUAGAAAACCCUGCAGGCAAGAAUCCAGGAGUCAUCCUUGACACCAUCAUCCUCACCUUGCUUAUUCCCUGCCAACUCCUAGUUCAAGCCAGCAUCACCUCUCUCUGGAGCACUGCUGUCACCUCCUAACAGGUUUCCCUGCCUCCACUAGUGUUACCCUCAAUCUGCAGGCAACCUGAGAUGGUCCUGUUAUCUUGCCUCCAACACAAAUGCUGUGUCUGCCUCUGCUCUUAGAUCCAGGUUUUAAACAUGACCCAGCAGACCCUG